rnacentral:lncRNA from 1 species
GUCAGGAAUUUGAGAUAUGAAAGAGCCAGUGGGAAUUGAUUACAUUUUGUAUAUGAAAGAGAAAGCAAAUGAAUUGUCUGGGAUGUUCCCCAGAAUGAUUGAAGAGGGCACUGCAUUUAAUUUAAAUGAGUAAGUGAGGAAUGGUGGGUUGGUUGUAAAGAUAAAUUUGGACUUGAACCUAUUAAGACAUGGUAUAGUAUUUUGUUCAUAUUUUACACCCUUUAAACUUUAUGUUUCUUGAGCAGAACCUUUGUCUGUAAUUAAUCUUUAUACCUCCCUGUUUCUACCUUAAUGUUUUGAAAUAGAAAUAGUUUAUGGGACAAAGUACAAGCUAUUUUUUCCUGUAGGUACUCGUUGUUGUUAUUUUUCUUUUUGCACUUGAUCUAUGAUUACAAGGAUAGAUAGAGUGAGAAAAAAACA